rnacentral:lncRNA from 1 species
CUUCUCCUCCAUGUUUGCUCGGAGGUGUACGGAGCAUCCUGUCCGCUCAUUGGUCAGUGAAUGAAACCUCAGUUGAUUGGUCCUCGUCCGAGCGACAGCGAUGAAAAGUUGAAAAUGUUUCAACUUUCUGGGAUCGCGUCGCUGGGUCGUCCGUGCACGACACGUGCACGAGUGCAAACUUUCACAUGCACGUUUUUCGCGUUUCGCUUAGUAGGAGAGAGACCUGCGAUUAUGGCUUUGUCGCGCAUGUCUCAUUGAAAAUGAAUGGAGGAGAGGCGAUUUCGCCUCCCGUGUGUCGAGCCCAUUAGUCACAUUCAUUGUCAAGUAGAAUGCGGAGAUCAUUUGAAAGACAACGGUAGCACCCGCCCCACAACCGAGAGCCGUCAAUGGGGCGUGGCCAGACUAAAUAAUACAUUUAUUUAGUCUGGCUUGCCAGGCUAAUGCUUUACACAACUACAAGCUAAACUCUCUCACGGUUACCACAGGAACCAAUUUGGGGUGCCCCCAAAAAUGUUCCUUUAUAAAUAUUUUCUGUGGGCAACUCUGCAAGCAGGAGUGAAGGAAAGGCAGAGACGUGAACUUGUUUCACUUAGAUAAUAUUUAUUUCUUCUUUCCUAAGAUUCACACGGACAAACAGAUGUUUGAAAAGCCAGUGCAGCCGUUUGCAGAGUAUACGAUUUGAAACUGCACCGUGCGAGGAUACUGCUACCAGAAGCAGAAGAGAAAGAGAGAAAAGGGUCGUACAGGUGCGGAGAAGAGGAAAGCUUUCAGCAAGACAUGCGGAAGGACUACAUUUAUAUAUAAAUAUAUGUAUAUAUAUAUAUAAAACACUCAAAGCGGCGACAGUCUUCAAGCAGAAAGACAGAAAGAUAGAAAAGUCAGAUCAAGCACGAAGAGGAUUACGAAGCGAAGCGAGGUUGGCAUGCUUGCAGAGCACAGAGAAACGUUACAGGAAGCCCAAGACACAGAGAUUACAUGUAAAGGCUAGAGCGACAGAGCACUAAUCUACACGCUAAGCUAUAUAGGACACGUAAGCUAAUUACAGGAGCUACACAUACUGUAUACAUAUAUGCACGUGGAUAUAUAGGAGACUGAACA